CAGUGCUUCAGAUUUUGCUUUCAAAACGUCUUAUAGAUAAGAAGAGUAUAGGCAGGGCUUUCUUCCAUUCGAACGACCUGUUCUUGAAAAGAUUUGUGGAGCGUUAUCAACCGGGCAUUCCGCAGCUCCUAGACUUGUGUACCAAAAUAAAGGUUGAAGAUGAUGUUGUAAGCAGUGGAAACUAAGAUUUCGACCUACCAUGUUCCUCCUUCCUUGAUCCAAAUUCUAUCGAAUCCCUAUUUGAUGAAGACAAAACCAUUGUUUGGGCUCUUGCUUGUCAAUUUAGAGGUGCCUUGCAAGGCACAACAACAAAAAUGUGUCUCCAAAAUCUUCGUUGAAGAAAGAUAAGAUAAACAAAGGAUAUGUUUCAAGUGAAGGAUAUUGAGGAGGGAAUGAAGCGGUUUUUUUAUUUUAUGGAGAUUUCUAUGAAGAAACAUGAUGU